rnacentral:lncRNA from 1 species
AAAACCCCCAGACAUUUCUCGAUGUUCGUCCGGUCUGACCGGACGUUGUCGUUGAUAAACGGAGGAUCAUUUAUCGAUGAUUAGCAAAGAUGCGACCAGGUCACUGAUUGUUAUCAAACUAAAUAAGAUUAGGAGCAUUGGGCCCGAUCUUGGGCCAUGAUUAAGAAAGGGGGUGUUGCUCCCUACACCUCCCCAAGUGGGACCUGUACCUCCCCAUUAAUUUAAUUUAUUUCAAAAAUAUUCUACACCUCCCC